AUGAACGCUGGCGGUAUGCUUAACACAUGCAAGUCGAACGGUGUCUUCGGACACAGUGGCGGACGGGUGAGUAACGCGUGAGAAUCUGGCUUCAGGUCGGGGACAACCACUGGAAACGGUGGCUAAUACCGGAUGUGCCGAAAGGUGAAAGAUUAUAUUGCCUGAAGAUGAGCUCGCGUCCUGAUUAGCUAGUAGGUGUGGUAAGAGCGCACCUAGGCGACGAUCAGUAGCUGUGUCUGAGAGGAUGAUCAGCCCACACUGGGACUGAGACACGGCCCAGACUCCUACGGGAGGCAGCAGUGGGGAAUUUCCGCAAUGGGGCGAAAGCCUGACGGAGCAAUACCGCGUGAGGGAGGAAGGCUCUUGGGUUGUAAACCUCUUUUCUCAGGGAAGAAAAAAAUGACGGUACCUGAGGAAUAAGCAUCGGCUAACUCCGUGCCAGCAGCCCGGUAAUACGGAGGAUGCAAGCGUUAUCCGGAAUGAUUGGGCGUAAAGCGUCCGCAGGUGGCUAUGUAAGUCUGCUGUUAAAGAGUGAGGCUCAACCUCAUAAAAGCAGUGGAAACUACAUAGCUAGAGUGCGUUCGGGGCAGAGGGAAUUCCUGGUGUAGCGGUGAAAUGCGUAGAGAUCAGGAAGAACACCGGUGGCGAAAGCGCUCUUGCUAGGCCGCAACUGACACUGAGGGGACGAAAGCUAGGGGAGCGAAUGGGAUUAGAUACCCCAGUAGUCUAGCCGUAAACGACUGGAUACUAGGCGUGGCUUGUAUCGACCCGAGCCGUGGCCGUACUACGCGUUAAGUACCCCGCCUGGGGAGUACGCACGCAAGUGUGAAACUCAAAGGAAUUGACGGGGCCCGCACAAGCGGUGGAGUAUGUGGUUUAAUUCGAUGCAACGCGAAGAACCUUAACCAAGACUUGACAUGUCGCGAAUCCCUGUGAAAAGUAAGGGAGUGCCUUCGGGAGCGCUGAACACAGGUGGUGGCAUGGCUGUCGUCAGCUCGUGUCGUGAGAUGUGGGUUAAGUCCCGCAACGAGCGCAACCCUCGUUUUUAGUUGCCAGCAUUAAGUUGGGCACUCUAGAGAGACUGCCGGUGACAAACCGGAGGAAGGUGGGAUGACGUCAAGUCAAGCAUGCCCCUACGUGCUGGGCUACACACGUACUACAAUGCUACUGGACAAAGGGCAGCAAGCUAGCGAUAGCAAGCAAAUCUCAUAAACCGUGGCUCAGUUCAGAGCGCAGGCUGCAACUCGCCCUGCGUGAAGUCGGAAUCGCUAGUAAUUGCAGGUCAGCAUACUGCAGUGAAUUCGUUCCCGGGCCUUGUACACACCGCCCGUCACACCAUGGAAGCUGGCAACGCCCGAAGUCAUUACUCCAACCCUCGGGGGGAGGAUCCUAAGGCAGUGCUGGUGACUGGGGUG
rnacentral:rRNA from 1 species